UUAAUUAUUUUUUACAACUGUAAUAAUUUAAAAUAGAUAGAUAGAUAAUAAAUUUUAUUUGAUCCUGGAGUUCUAAGCUCCUUCAGGACCAUCAACAAUACAUAAAGUUAAUUGUUUACAAGUAUACAUUUGAUACAGUAUUUGCAAUAAAAUUUUAAAGACCGACAUUAAUUAAUAACUAUCAUGUUAAAUUAUAAGAUCAAUGGUAAUUAUAUUGCUUGCAAGAAGAAAUUAAAA